AUAACGUUCUACCUCUAACGGCUCCGUCCAGAGUUUUGGUUUGGCUAGGGAAAGCAGAACCAGAAAGAAGAAUGGGGAGAAGGAAGUAUUUCCGCCUAAGGAGGCACCCCGAAAGGGGAAGCGAGGCCGGAGGCCCAGCAAACCCCGACUGAUUCCCAGGCAGACGUCUGGGGGCCCCAUCUGCCCUGACUGCGGCUGUACCUUCCCUGAUCAUCAGGCCCUGGAGAGCCACAAGUGCGCCCAAAAUCUAAAAAAGCCUUACCCUUGCCCAGACUGUGGGCGCCGCUUUUCCUAUCCAUCCCUGCUGGUCAGUCACCGGCGGGCACACUCCGGCGAGUGCCCCUAUGUUUGUGACCAGUGUGGCAAACGUUUCUCCCAGCGUAAGAACCUCUCCCAGCACCAGGUUAUCCAUACAGGUGAGAAGCCCUACCACUGCCCUGACUGUGGUCGCUGCUUCCGGAGGAGCCGGUCCUUGGCCAAUCACCGGACCACACACACAGGCGAAAAACCCCACCAGUGCCCUAGCUGCGGACGUCGCUUCGCCUACCCCUCCCUGCUAGCCAUCCACCAGCGUACACACACGGGAGAGAAGCCCUACACCUGCCUCGAGUGCAACCGCCGCUUCCGCCAGCGCACGGCCCUCGUCAUCCACCAGCGCAUCCACACGGGCGAGAAGCCCUACCCGUGCCCGGACUGCGAGCGGCGCUUCUCCUCC
rnacentral:sRNA from 1 species